rnacentral:rRNA from 1 species
AUUGAACGCUGGCGGCAGGCCUAACACAUGCAAGUCGAACGAGUGGCGGACGGGUGAGGAAUGUCUGGGAAACUGCGCUGUGGAGGGGGAUAACUAAGGGAAACGGAAGCUAAUACCGCAUACCAUCGGAUGUGCCGAGGUGGGAUUAGCUAGUCGGGGGGGUAAAGCAUCACAAAGGCGACGAUCCGUAGCUGGUCUGAGAUGAUGACCAGCAACACGGGAACUGAGACACGGGCCAGACUCCGACGGGAGGCAGCAGUGGGGAAUAUUGCACAAUGGGCGAAAGCCUGAUGCAGCCAUGCCGCGUGUGUGAAGAAGGCCUUCGGAUUGUAAAGUACUUUCAGCGGGGAGGCGUUACCAACAGAAUAAGCACCGGCUAACUCCGUGCCAGCAGCCGCGGUAAUAC